rnacentral:tmRNA from 1 species
GGGGGUGUUCCGGAUUCGAUUGCCGGUGAGCGAAGGAAUAAGCAUACCGCAGAGGGAAAGACUGCGUUAAAACGCUCCACUUAAAUAUAAAUGCUAAUAAUCAAAAAGCAAACUACGCUCUUGCAGCGUAACUUCGUUUAUUAACGAAUCGUCGCGCCCGAUUUAUCCGUCGGUUGGGGCCGCGGCGUCAAUUAGACGGAAAACUCUCCAAAAAUAGGAAGGUGUUUUUGAAAGAGUAUUUAGCCUUCUGCGUCGUAUAAAGCGUGUUUACCCGCGUUAUGCGAUUAAGAAAUUAUAGAUAAACUAAGUAUGUAGAAAGUUUUUUGGCAGCCGAGUAAGACGUGAGUUCAACUCUCACCACCUCCACCA